rnacentral:rRNA from 1 species
GGCGAAACGCUGGCGGCGCGCCUAACACAUGCAAGUCGAACGGAGCUUAGAGAGCUUGCUUUUUAAGCUUAGUGGCGAAACGGGUGAGUAACGCGUGAGUAACCUGCCCUAGAGUGGGGGAACAGCAGUUGGAAACGACUGCUAAUACCGCAUAAGCCCACGGUGCCGCAUGACACUGAGGGAAAAGGAUUUAUUCGCUUUAGGAUGGACUCGCGUCCAAUUAGCUAGUUGGUGAGGUAACGGCCCACCAAGGCGACGAUUGGUAGCCGGACUGAGAGGUUGAACGGCCACAUUGGGACUGAGACACGGCCCAGACUCCUACGGGAGGCAGCAGUGGGGGAUAUUGCACAAUGGGGGAAACCCUGAUGCAGCGACGCCGCGUGGAGGAAGAAGGUUUGCGGAUUGUAAACUCCUGUCGUUAGGGACGAUAAUGACGGUACCUAACAAGAAAGCACCGGCUAACUACGUGCCAGCAGCCGCGGUAAAACGUAGGGUGCAAGCGUUGUCCGGAAUUACUGGGUGUAAAGGGAGCGCAGGCGGGAAGACAAGUUGGAAGUGAAAACCAUGGGCUCAACCCAUGAAUUGCUUUCAAAACUGUUUUUCUUGAGUAGUGCAGAGGUAGAUGGAAUUCCCGGUGUAGCGGUGGAAUGCGUAGAUAUCGGGAGGAACACCAGUGGCGAAGGCGGUCUACUGGGCACCAACUGACGCUGAGGCUCGAAAGCAUGGGUAGCAAACAGGAUUAGAUACCCUGGUAGUCCAUGCCGUAAACGAUGAUUACUAGGUGUUGGGGGAUUGACCCCCUCAGUGCCGCAGUUAACACAAUAAGUAAUCCACCUGGGGAGUACGACCGCAAGGUUGAAACUCAAAGGAAUUGACGGGGGCCCGCACAAGCAGUGGAGUAUGUGGUUUAAUUCGAAGCAACGCGAAGAACCUUACCAGGUCUUGACAUCCGAUGCAUAGCACAGAGAUGUGUGAAAUCCUUCGGGACAUCGAGACAGGUGGUGCAUGGUUGUCGUCAGCUCGUGUCGUGAGAUGUUGGGUUAAGUCCCGCAACGAGCGCAACCCUUAUUGCCAGUUACUACGUUAAGAGGACUCUGGCGAGACUGCCGUUGACAAAACGGAGGAAGGUGGGGAUGACGUCAAAUCAUCAUGCCCUUUAUGACCUGGGCUACACACGUACUACAAUGGCGUUAAACAAAGAGAAGCAAGACCGCGAGGUGGAGCAAAACUCAAAAACAACGUCUCAGUUCAGAUUGCAGGCUGCGAACUCGCCUGCAUGAAGUCGGAAUUGCUAGUAAUCGCGGUUCAGCGUGCCGCGGUAAAUACGUUCCCGGGUCAU